GCAGCGCUGCCUGCCCCCCAGCCUGCAGUUCUCUCGCUCUGACGGGUGGCAGAGGGGCCUCUUGAACCCCAGGCAAAAAGCAGGUUCUCAUAGUGGUUUUCGUCGAAAUCGUUCUCAAUGUAAGGGGCCGUCACCCCCAGCCCUCCCUUGGGGUAGAGGAGGGGGCGCGCAGGACGCCUUUCUCCAGCCAAAGCUGCCUUCAAAGCUUGCUUUUCGGUGCUGGGUCUCACUAAACUGCCCCGCUGGCCUCCGGUCUAUGAGGCCGCUCCUGCCUCAGCCUCCCCAGCAGUGAGCGUUACCGGCCGGUGUCGUCACGCGCACACACCGCCUGCCUAUUCCGCGUCGCACUGGGACUCGGCUGCAGCGCCAGCUGGAAGGGUCACCUCGACUCAGUAAGGCGAAUGGGUGGUUCCUCAUUUUUCUUCAUCUUCUUGUUUUUUUCUUUCUUUUUUUUUUUUUUUUACUUUGUAGCAAAAUCCCUUCUUGUGAAGGAAAUAUUUCAAUCCAUUUGUUGGUAAAUAUUUCAAGCAAAUAAAAACAAAUACAGUGGGAUAAAACUGCAGCGCGGUCGUGGAGACUGCCCACCUGGCUUCAUCGGCAGCUCCUUAGGCAAUGAUCAAAAAUCCCGUGGGUUGAGAAAAAUUCUUUGAAAAACCUCACUUUGAAAUAAAAAGUGACUUAAAAAUUAGAGGCCAACUUCAGGCUGAUUGUCGAAAACAGCGUGUUCCCUGCAGCCCUCAGAGUCAGAAGCCACAACACCUGGGCCGCUUCCUCUUCUCUCUGAGAUCAAGCGGGCAGUGAGGGCCGCACCCGCUGCCCUCCCGGGUCUGCCUUCCAAGCGCCGCUCAGCGAGACCUCAGCGGGCCUGGAGUCUGGUUUAUGCAUUUCUCUGAAACCCAAGCUUUUGAAAUGGAAUCCCCAUGAAGAUGCUCAUAAAGGCACUGCCUUCUUUUCUUUCAAACCAGAAAAGAAAUAAAGAGCCCUAAAAACUUUAUUCUGUGGAUAGAAUGUUUAUGACAUUUUAAUGUCAUUCCUUAAAUCCCUAAACCAUAUGCACAGUUCAGACUUUAAUUAACACUAAUUAUGUUUUUGGCCUUUUGAACCAUGACUACUAGCUAGGGUGCUACUGCUGUGAGUUUUCAAAAGGAGAUGGAACAGCCUUUUGCUCUUUCCUGCUUGCUUUUCCCCUACAAGAGCGCUAGCACGCACCGACAGUGACCCACCCGGCCUGUGUGGAAGAAUGGACCGUGUGGGAGUCGGUGGUCUCUCGGUGUCCCUGGGAUAAAACGGCAAGAGGAUUAAGAAAACGGCAAGAGGAUUAAGAAAACAAAGACAAGAGAAAACAGCUGGGGAUUUCCUGGGUCUGUGCUAGGCACAGGGCGGUCCUCAUAAAAUUGUGAUUUGCUGACUCAUGCUUAGGAAGCCACUGUGAUGGUCAACUGCCUCGAAGAGACUUGGGUCUGUGACCGCAGAGACCGAUUAUCAUGCAAUAUGCCCAGAUGCUUAGGGAACUGUUGUCAGUCCUGUUGCAUUCCUGGUGGGGCUGGUGCCCAAGACAUGCAGACAGCAGGGCCGAUCACACACACUGUGCAGUGUGGCUCAGAGUCCCUGGGAAAGGGGUAAUUUGAGCAGAGUUUAGGAAAGUGACAACACACAGGUAACACAAAUGCCACUCUCGGCAUUAGAACUGGUCUUGGCCAUGGAUCACAAUGGGGUGAAAUGGACUGAAAUUGAGUUUACACAGGAUCUACCCAUGUACAACAAUAAGCCAACCUACACUAAUGGAAUAUUUUCUGUGUAAAGAGCUCCCAGCAACAUACUUGGAAACUUAUGUCUAUAAACGCAAGUCUGGAGAUAGAAAGCUGACUGAACUUCUAGUGCCACUGUAAAUACUUGAGCUACAUUAGUGUCAGCAUUUUUCACCAGCAAAUGCAAUUUAACUAAGGAUCCUUGCUGAAAAGUACCAUGUGUGCCACAGCAGCUCAGGAAUCCAGCGGCAAGGGCAAGUUCACAGGCUUGGGUCACACACCCAUUAUAACUGCGUGGUGUGAUAUGUUGACCAGGCAGUUUCUCAUGAUACUUCUGUGAUGGAACUGGAACAUUACAGCAAGCCCCAGAAGCACAGUCCUGGAGUGAUUUAUAAUUUUGGUGUGGUGAAGUGGUGAACACUGUUAAAAUAGCUUUCGAAGAAGAGUGGCUGCUGAGCGGAAAAAAAAAAUCAACUACAAGUGAAGUAAUAGGCUUACCAAUAAUUCACUCUGGAAUACUAGAAAGCACAUGGUGUCAGAACUGAAGUUUUGCUCCUCUUGUCAUUUGCUAACUCUUUGUACUAGAGUUGAUUUUAAAAUUUUCUGAACCUUAAUUUUUUUCUCUACAAAAUGGAAAAAUGAAUCUAAUCCUAAAGGACUGUUGUGAAUAUGAGAAACUGUAUGGAAUCAUCAAACCCAUUUCUGGCACACAGUAGGUAUGCAAUAUCAGUUCAACCUCUGCUUCUCUUUCCUCCUCUAUCCAGUAUACCAUCUACCUAGCAUUCAUGCAGAUCAAGUAUCUUGUAGACUGUCUUAUUGGGUUACUGGACAGUUAUUCUGACUUUUUUUUUUGUCUGAAAGUCUUCCACUAUCUAUA